CAAUAGCGUAUAUUAAAGUUGUUGCAGUUAAAAAGCUCGUAGUUGGAUUUCGGGAUGGGCCAGUCGGUCUGCCGUAAGGUAUGUUACUGGCUGGUCUGUCCUUCUUCGCAAAGACUGCGUGUGCCCUUAAUUGUGUGUGCGUAGGAUUUGCGACGUUUACUUUUGAAAAAAAUUAGAGUGUUCAAAGCAGGCUUACGCCAUUGAAUACAUUAGCAUGGAAUAAUAAGAUAGGACUUUAGUACUUAUUUUGGUUUGGUUUCUAGGACCGAAGUAAUGAUUAAUAGGGACAGUUGGGGGCAUUCAUAUUCCAUUGUCAGAGGUGAAAUUCUUGGAUUAACGGAAGAUGAACUUAACUGCGAAGCAUCUGCCAAGGAUGUUUUCAUUGAUCAAGAACGAAAGUUAGGGGAUCGAAGACGAUCAGAU
rnacentral:rRNA from 1 species